UGAUAAACCACAUGGAUUCAGUCAGUAAAAAACAUCGGCCGUAAUCGGAUCGCUGGCUAUACCUUAAAGCUCUGAGCAAGUGUUUGUCUGUAUUGGUGGAGGCUGAAGACAUGAGUCCAUGGACAGGGACUACUGAGGAACCUUCAUCAAGAACAAGGAGAUCCACACGCUCACUAGCGAUGAUGGUUUGCCCUCUGACAUGACCUCUGAGGAUGGCUCCACCCUCAACGCUAUAGGCCACGCCCUCAUCCAGAUGCAGCAAGGUGGACAGACCACCCCCUCAUCUCAGUUCCUCAUCACUAGGAGCACCUCUUCUGGUUCAGAGUCUGGCCAAAAUGUUCAUAUGCUUGCAAAACAUUCUAGUCUGGGGAUAUGGCCGCCACAACAGGGAAGCUCAGAGGAAGGCUACACACAAUGAAGGUGCUGCAAAUUCAAUACUGAAAGUUAGUGUACAACAGAUGUACAUGUACGUACGUGGUCAUAAUCAAAUAGAAGCAUUUCCCACAAAGUACAGUUACGAAGCUUUAACAUCAAAUCUGCCACUUCUAAAACUAGUGUUCAAGCUGGCGCUGUGCUAAUGCCUCUCGCCAUGAUUUAUUUUCGCUCAAAAGUAUAGAAGAGGAAGUAUAGAAGAGGAAAAAGUGUAUAAAAUAAUCUGUCUAAAACUGACUUGCAUCUAUUCAAUUGUAUAAUUAUGGUAUCAUUGUUGUGUUUUGUGGCUGCUUAUACCAGGACCUCAAGGAUCUAGGAAGCAACAAAGAAGAAGAUUUUGUUUUCAAUUAAUUAUAGUGCAUAAUUUUACUAAUUAUUUCAUAAAGUUAGCUUAUCUAUAUAAAGUCACUGAGAAGAAAAGACUUAUUACAUGCAUCUAUUGUUGUAUUAUGUGGCUUUAAUACCAGGACCUCAAGAAAGAAGAAAAUUGAUUCUUCCAGGAUCUGUAGUUCAGUGUAUAAUUAUAAUAUCUAAGAAGAAAAGACUUGUGUACAUGCAUAUUGUUAUCUAUAUUGUUAUAUAGUAGUGUUUUGUGGCUUACCAGGCCCUCAAGAAAAAUAUGAUUCUGCCAGGA